CAGUCGACGGUUAAGCAUCUUCGGAUGUGUAUAAAGUGGCGAACGGCUGAGUAACACGUGGGCAACCUGCCCUUUGCACUGGGAUAGCCUCGGGAAACCGAGGUUAAUACCGGAUACUCCAUAUUUGUCGCAUGGCGAAUAUGGGAAAGCUCCGGCGGCAAAGGAUGGGCCCGCGGCCUGUUAGCUAGUUGGUGGGGUAGUGGCCUACCAAGGCAAUGAUGGGUAGCCGGGUUGAGAGACCGACCGGCCAGAUUGGGACUGAGACACGGCCCAGACUCCUACGGGAGGCAGCAGUGGGGAAUCUUGCACAAUGGGCGAAAGCCUGAUGCAGCGACGCCGCGUGCGGGAUGAAGGCCUUCGGGUUGUAAACCGCUUUCAGCAGGGACGAGGCCGCAAGGUGACGGUACCUGCAGAAGAAGCCCCGGCUAACUACGUGCCAGCAGCCGCGGUAAUACGUAGGGGGCAAGCGUUAUCCGGAUUCAUUGGGCGUAAAGCGCGCGUAGGCGGUCUGUUAGGUCAGGAGUUAAAUCUGGGGGCUCAACCCCUAUCCGCUCCUGAUACCGGCAGGCUUGAGUCUGGUAGGGGAAGAUGGAAUUCCAAGUGUAGCGGUGAAAUGCGCAGAUAUUUGGAAGAACACCGGUGGCGAAGGCGGUCUUCUGGGCCAUGACUGACGCUGAGGCGCGAAAGCUAGGGGAGCGAACAGGAUUAGAUACCCUGGUAGUCCUAGCUGUAAACGAUGGACACUAGGUGUGGGGAGAUUAUACUUUCCGUGCCGCAGCUAACGCAUUAAGUGUCCCGCCUGGGGAGUACGGUCGCAAGACUAAAACU
rnacentral:rRNA from 1 species